ensembl:snoRNA
UGGGAGGCUGAUACAUACAAUGAGCUGAAGUGUGCUGUGCUGCUCUAACCAUCACCAAACCUCCCGAGAGCCUUUUGAUGACUGGGACGAAUUGAGUUACAUCGUCACAGACAGUUAAAAAUAAAA